UACGAGGGGGGCGAGCGUUGUUCGGAAUUAUUGGGCGUAAAGCGUGCGCAGGCGGUUUUGUAAGUCUGUCGUGAAAUCCCCGGGCUUAACCUGGGAAUGGCGAUGGAGACUGCAAGGCUAGAGUUUGGCAGAGGGGGGUAGAAUUCCACGUGUAGCAGUGAAAUGCGUAGAGAUGUGGAGGAACACCGAUGGCGAAGGCAGCCCCCUGGGUCAAAACUGACGCUCAUGCACGAAAGCGUGGGGAGCAAACAGG
rnacentral:rRNA from 1 species